GAGCAACAUCAGAGGAGUCCACCAAGUGCAAAAACAAAGAAGAAUGCAUCGAGCAAAAUUUCUGAAAAAACAUUCGAAUCAGUGGACAGUAACCACAACAGAACUCAAAUAAUAAUAGGUAUGACUUGGUCUCCAAGGCGUUGUCCUUCCUCAAUGUAGGGUCUGUCAGGACACGCAUAUGGACCCUUGAACUAAAGCCUCCAAUCCCCAACUCCUGGUCUAGGCAUUGAGGUGAUGAAGUUCUUGGAGUAUGAGCUCAUCACUGAAUACAACAUCUGGGAUCAAGCACCGAGGAUGCGAGAGCGAGGGAGCGAGUUGAGAGUGUCUUUGGAGAUUCCUCAGCUCUGAGGGCAUCACAGACUGAAAUGCCGCCAAGAUCUAGCGACAUAUUGUUCGCACUUCUCAAGGUCUUGGCAAUGCUGCUCCCAAGGGAGAGUGACCAACGGCUGACGGGUGACAUAUGAACUUUUCGCUGCGGGCGUGCCACAUGGCGGGGCUG